GCACAUCUUGAGGCCUGAGGCUGAGUAAACUGUCAUUACAUAUGGGACAGUUGAUUAUGAAAACUGCAUCCAUCCUGGACAGUUACACUGCUACUGUAGGCAGUAAUAGGAUGCAGCUACGUAAAAGUCGUGUGGAAAGACUGUGGAGAUCUACAGCAGAUAAGCAUGGCAAUUCAGAUCUUGGACUCCAAAAGUGAUUUGCAGAAGACAUCUUGGAAUGCAUGGGGCUGGAUUUUCUGACGGUUACUGCUCGCAUCUCUGCCUCCUGAACAGAAAUGCCUUGCUGAAUGUUGAAUGACCAUCAACUCAACCUUGCCAAGACAGAACUGCUCAUGUUUUCAGCCAGACCAACCUUGGUGUUACAGUGGACACAUGAACUUCAUUGACCACAUUGCAGUGGCCCAAUCCUGCAGAUUUGCCCUUAUGGGGCAUGCAA